GAUGAACGCUGGCGGCGUGCCUAAUACAUGCAAGUCGAGCGAACAGACGAGGAGCUUGCUCCUCUGACGUUAGCGGCGGACGGGUGAGUAACACGUGGAUAACCUACCUAUAAGACUGGGAUAACUUCGGGAAGCCGGAGCUAAUACCGGAUAAUAUAUUGAACCGCAUGGUUCAAUAGUGAAAGACGGUUUUGCUGUCACUUAUAGAUGGUUCCGCGCCGCAUUAGCUAGUUGGUAAGGUAACGGCUUACCAAGGCGACGAUGCGUAGCCGACCUGAGAGGGUGAUCGGCCACACUGGAACUGAGACACGGUCCAGACUCCUACGGGAGGCAGCAGUAGGGAAUCUUCCGCAAUGGGCGAAAGCCUGACGGAGCAACGCCGCGUGAGUGAUGAAGGUCUUCGGAUCGUAAAACUCUGUUAUUAGGGAAGAACAAAUGUGUAAGUAACUAUGCACGUCUUGACGGUACCUAAUCAGAAAGCCACGGCUAACUACGUG
rnacentral:rRNA from 1 species